CACGUAGUUAGCCGUGGCUUUCUGGUUAGGUACCGUCAAGGUACCAGCAGUUACUCUGGUACUUGUUCUUCCCUAACAACAGAACUUUACGACCCGAAGGCCUUCUUCGUUCACGCGGCGUUGCUCCGUCAGACUUUCGUCCAUUGCGGAAGAUUCCCUA
rnacentral:rRNA from 1 species